AUUGAACGCUGGCGGCAGGCCUAACACAUGCAAGUCGAGCGGAGCGGCGGACGGGUGCGUAAUGCCUAGGAAUCUGCCUGGUAGUGGGGGAUAACGUCCGGAAACGGGCGCUAAUACCGCAUACUAUCAGAUGAGCCUAGGUCGGAUUAGCGAGUUGGUGGGGUAAAGGCCUACCAAGGCGACGAUCCGUAACUGGUCUGAGAGGAUGAUCAGUCACACUGGAACGGAGACACGGUCCAGACUCCUACGGGAGCCAGCAGUGGGGAAUAUUGUACAAGGGGGGAAAGCCUGAUCCGGCCAUGCCGCUUGUAUGAAGAAGGUCUUCGGUUUGUAAAGCACUUUAAGUUGGGAGGCGUUACCCACAGAAUAAGCACCGGCUAACUUCGUGCCAGCAGCCGCGGUAAUUC
rnacentral:rRNA from 1 species